CGUAGUUGGAUUUCUGGUGGGAGUGAUCGGUCUGCCCCGUUAGGGGUGUGUACCAGUGUCGUCUCUUGCCAUCCUUGGGGAGAGCUUGCCUGGCAUUAGGUUGUCGGGCAAGGGAUCCCCAUCCUUUACUGUGAAAAAAUUAGAGUGUUUAAAGCAGGCUUAGGCCGUUGAAUACAUUAGCAUGGAAUAAUAAGAUAGGACUUUGGUGGUCUAUUUUGUUGGUUUGCACACCAAGGUAAUGA
rnacentral:rRNA from 1 species